AUUAGUACCAAGGUGAUGGAUUUGUACGGUGAGGCGUGUAGCUGCUUUUGUUUUUUUUGCGAAAAUCUUGUUUUGGGAUUCGCCGAAAAAUAGGCACUGCUAGGAGUACAAAUACGGGCAUACGAGAAUGCAGAGACAAGUUCAUCAAAAGGAGAGCGAGUUCGAAGGAAAAUUUCGAAUAGACAUAGGCUUUAAAUAGAGGUCGGCAGGGCGCCAUUAGGCAUUUUCGAUCUGUAUCGCUAUCAACUAAAAGAGUUUCAGAGGCCAAGAAAGUUUUUUUCCAUGUGUAUAAGUGCAGUUUAAGUUAAAUUUACACCGCCAAAUUGGACCACCAUGCUAGACCAACUAUCCUGCGAGAGCCGCAAGGCAUCGAUUAGGUAAGGGAAGUGGGGGUGAAAAACAAUAAGAAAAGGCGAUACUGAUACUGAACAUUUGCCCACCUUUAUGCAUAUGUACGACUAGAUAAGCAUUAGAGGAGGCUCGCCCGCUAUAAGUACCAGCUGGAGUGACAAAAAACCGGCACAUAAGUAAGCCAUAGCGGAGACUCGGCCCUUUGAAUUUGUCAGCUGGAGCGACAGAGAGUUUCGCCGGAGCUUUUGCCGCCGCUAAGCAUGCAAGCAAGCAAGCGAGAGGGAAGACGGCGCACAGUACCAGGCAGACGGCGGCCACUUAAAACAGCGCCACGUUGCUUACGCGGAGUAAUUAAAACCCCGAUAGGGAGGGGAGGGGAAUAAACGAAUUAUUUAAAUCAAAAUUACAGCCCAACCCACUAAAUAAGUGAAAAGAAUGUUAUAGAAAAAAUGAGAGAAAAACACCCUCCACUAACGUUUAAAAAUGUAUAAUUAUAGUCUAAAAAUCUUUAUUUAAAUGGUUAGGUACUUUUAGUUUUCUAUUUCUAUUCUAUCUCUUCCUACCUUCCUUUAAAAGUUUAAAAGCGAUCGACGUUAAGUGAACAGAUGGCAUAGAGAGAAAAAAAAUUGUGACAUGCAAAAGUGGAAAAGAAAGAAACGAACAAAUGUUAUUGCACUGAUUUACCGCAAGACGGAUUUUGUCUGUGCAUAAUUGUGUGUGGUGGGGCUGAGUGUUCUUUUUAUACCCGGUACUCGAAGAGUAAAUAGGGUAUAUUGUAUUUGUGGGGAAUAACGGUUGUACGUAACGCACAGAAGGAAAUGUUUCCGACCCCUUAAGUAUAUAUAUUCUUGAUCAGCAUCAAUGGCCGAGUCGAUAGAGCCAUGUCUGUCUGUCCGUCUGUCCGUCUUGUUUGUCGGCUAGUUCUCUCAAAGACUAUAAGAGCUAGGACCACCAUAUUUUGGCUCCGGACUGCUGUAUGCUGACACUGGAACCAGUGUAUUUCAAAAAUGAGCUACGCCCCCUUUCGCCCCCGCAAAAGGGCGAAAACCUCCCAAAUCUACAGUUUUGAAGAUAAAAGAAAACUAAAAACGCCAUUCCGUAGGAAAUGGCCAUAUCUAUCAGAUCACCAAAUUGGGAUCUGAUCGGAUCAUUAUUAUAGCCACAAUGGAGAAAUUAAUUUGCAGUGGCUAAACCCACCCUGUCCCGCAGCUUUUGUUGUUCUUUUUACAUUCUCUCAUUCACACUCUGCUUCUGCUUCACUCGGCCCCUGCCUUUGCCGUCCCUCUGCCAAUUUCUCUACCGACUUUUAACCCACCCCGUCCCGCAGCUUGAAUUUGUUUUUUUUUUGUGUGCGGGCGCUGCCUCUGCUUCUGCAGCGAGUAAGCAGUAUGUGUGUCUAGGGAAGGGCGGCGAGCGUGUUGGUGUGAGAAGUGUUGUAGAUGUAGAUGACAGAUGAAGAAAAAAUUUAAAAUUUGACAAAACACAUCUGAGGUGCAGAUGCACUAUUGUCCCAAUGACCAGUUUUGGUGGCUGUUUACGCGGAAUUAGCGCAAAGGGCUUAUGGCCGGGAGCAAUUAGUAUUUGGUAUAAUUAAAAUUAGUUUGUAGCAUUAAGAUAUUAAAUUGUUGCAUUUACGACAUACUCACAGAAGUUUGUUUCUAUAGAACAUAUAUGUAAUAUGUGAAUACGGUAGAGAAAGAGGAAGAACAUGCAUAGG
rnacentral:lncRNA from 1 species